rnacentral:misc_RNA from 1 species
AGAAAAAGAAAAAAAAAAAAGGGGAUGUGAGCAAGUUUUAGAAAGGAGGAACUAUGUCACAGCUGCUACAGUGUUUAGAAUCAGGUAUAGGGUACUCAAAUACAUACAUCCAAAGUCAGACACCAAAUCAUCAUAACCAUGUCUAAGCAUCCUUACAGGGCAGGGUGUUUUAGAUAAACUAAGGAAUCAAAAUGUCUUGGAUUCCUUUUCCUUUCCUUUCCUCACUUUAAUUUGAAGAGUGAGCAUUUUCUUCUUUCUUUUUUUGCUCCUUCUUUUGCCUUCUCCCAAAAUAUUGAUGCAUCCUACAUGCGGAUAUUAUUAUUUAUAGAAAAAUUAAAACCCACCGAACAGCAUGUGCAGAAACAGUUGAACACAAAGACUCUUGCCCCUAUAGAAUGGACAGAGUAAUAGGUCAACCAAUUUAUGAGGCAUAUUGAACAUGCUAAUUUACCCACACAGCAAUUCAUAUGUACAUUGCACAAGCUCAAAAUCACCCACCCUGAAAGAAAUUCUAACUAUAGCUCAAAAUAGAGAAGCAAAUAUUUAAUCAUAUCCUAAAUUCAUGGACAUAGGUGUACUUUAUUCACCUUUCAGAUAAAGUGUCUUGCUUCAUAUAUAGGUCAUGCAUGAAUCAACCAUGCAGUACGUUUCAUAUGUACAUCAGGAAACUGAUAUAUAUGCACAUUUUGAACAAAUACUGUCAUGAAUUUCUUUUUAAAAACCAAAGAGAAAAAAAAAAUUAUAAUAGGUGUUGAACAGACUUGCCAGCACUCUUUCAUAGUAAGCAUCUAUGAAUGCAUUGAACUUUUAAUAAAAUUUUCUUUUACAUCAUUGAUACACUCUCUAACAAAAGCCCCAAUCAAAUGAUUCGCCAUCCAACAUUAUCCUCUGAGUACGCAUUCAUUCCCCUCCAGCUCCAUGGGCAAAAUGGCACUUACUCCCAAAUGGGCAAUACCCAGUGAGUUCCCACUUGUUACAAAUUCUUGUCUUCCAAUUUGAUGGCUUAACAUUCCCUCCACUCGCACUUCCACUUGUCCCUCCGCCUCCUGUGACCCCUCCAUACCCUCCUGGCCCCAAACUUAUUGCCACGCUCUCCCUGUUCUUUGACUGCUCAUCAUGCAAAAAUGUACAAUUAUCUCCGUAUGGGCACCCCUCCUCUGUAUAAAACUUCUUGCAAUGUCUCCCUUUAUAAGACCUCUGUGAAUCCCCUCCAAAUCCCCCUAUAGAUGGAAUUUGAAACUCCUCUCUUAUCUCCAUUAUAUUCCCUUUAUCUUCCUCAUGUGCUGCUACAAUUUCCUGCCAGUUUGAAGGCGGGCGUCGAAGCUCCUCUAUGCUAUGGGCAAAGUUGCAGUUUGUAACGUAUGGGCAUGUGCCAGCCCGGAACUUGCAGCACAGUUUGGUCUUGAAAAACAUUUUCCCUAUGGAUUUCUUGGAAGUCAAUUCUUGGGAGUUGUUUUUGGAUUUCUUGUUUGGUGGUUCACUGCCAGAGCGCGUAUGGGAGGACUGAAAGUUCGAAUUGGAGGGAGUGCUAUCGGAAGGGCUGUCAAAGUUGUUCCAAGCAUGAUAAUCAUCUUCUGUGGCCCAAACAGAACUAGAAUCAGUAGAAUUUGGAAACCAAUUCUCAGGUCCUGUUCCAGGAAUUACAUGGACAACGUUUGCACUGGAAAAAUCUCUACCAUAAUCCAUCUUCUAACCAAAACCCACUAACCAAAGAUAUUAAAGUUGUGGAAUUUGGAGAUAAAGCUCUAACUACUAAUCAAAUGAUAGUAGAGUAUAAACCGGGACACCCCUGAACUCAAAUUGAUUGAAUUGAGAAGAAAUGAAGUAGCUAAAAUAUGGAAAGUGGUUAUUUUAAUAAAAUCUUCAAGGAUUGAAUCAGACAGAACAUUAAAAAGGGUAUCAAAAGGAGCGGAAAUUUGAAAAUCUAAGAUUUAAUUAUAAAACAAAACCCUAACAGAUUAUCAAAGAAAGAAACAGAACACACAGCCACCAGAAUUCAUUGAGAAUUACAGUGACCAAGUAAAAAUCUCAAAAAGUUAGGAAAUGGGUUUUCAAUAAACACAUCUAUAGGAAAAUUUUCAUAGAAAGGAUUAAACUUUCCUUUUCCGUUUUAAGGAACAAAUACAACAACAAACAACAGAUACAAAGUAUUAAAGAUAUACAACCUGAAAUUUAGUAAACAAAUAGAAAAAAGAUAAGAUUUAGAUCUGGUACCUUGAUAUUUAAAGCACAAUCUAGAAUCUAAAAACCACUGAAAUAGAUAGAUAAUAAGUGAGCAGAUAUGGAAAUUUUGAGAGGUUAAAGUGAAAACAUGAUAAAUCGAAAUGAUGAGAUAUGGUUUGGUACAAAGGAGUAGAUUUUCCAAACUUACAAACAAACCCAGUGCCUGUUCUCGUAACUCGUUAGAAAUGGGUUACCCUGCCUGCCAUCAAAGGAGCAACGACGAGAGUUUUAAUUCCUACGUUUUUUU